CAAAAAUAAGAAGUUAAUAAAAAUAAGCAGAUUUUUCUCACCCAGGGAAAGGACGGGGAUCCCGGGAGGAUCCCCUAUUACCAAAUGAGGAUAGAAAUCUUUAACUUCCAAAUCUAUAAAUAUCGCAUAUUCUCUCUGGCAUAACAGUACUUGCUCCAUAUCAAAACUAACAAGAGAAAGAACAGAAAAGAGAGAGUAUACUUGAUACUACGCCCAACACCAUCGAUUAUGGGUGCGAGAAAUGCUACCAUCUGCUUUGUGCUGAUCCUUGUGUUAUUCGUGAAUCAUGGUUCUGCAGAAAAAAAGUGCUGGGAAAAUACCUCUGGCAGUCCACUCUGUGUAGGCUUUCUAUGCAAGGCAACAUGCUCGAUUGCAGGCAAAAUGUUUAAUGCUGUCGUCAAGGAACACAAGUGUAUAGGAUCAGCAUUCAGUAGCCAAUGCUACUGCUAUCUCUGCGACAAAUAGUUUGUUGGCACAAAUGGUCAAAGAAACCACAGGCACUAGUUUGUAAUUUCUUGGUUUAGCAUAUAAAGGGGGUGAAUAAUUUA